rnacentral:tRNA from 1 species
GCCCCGGUAGCUCAACUGGAUAGAGCAUUGGACUUCUAUUCCAAGGGUUGCAGGUUCGAGUCCUGCCCGGGGUGCCA